GGGUCCGCCUUGAGUGCCCGGGUGAGAAGCAUGAUCCCGGGUAAUUAUGGCGGACCCACAGAU
rnacentral:misc_RNA from 1 species